UUAAGUUAUUAAGGGCGCACGGUGGAUGCCUUGGCACUAGAAGCCGAUGAAGGACGUUACUAACGACGAUAUGCUUUGGGGAGCUGUAAGUAAGCUUUGAUCCAGAGAUUUCCGAAUGGGGAAACCCAGCAUGAGUUAUGUCAUGUUAUCGAUAUGUGAAUACAUAGCAUAUCAGAAGGCACACCCGGAGAACUGAAACAUCUUAGUACCCGGAGGAAGAGAAAGAAAAUUCGAUUCCCUUAGUAGCGGCGAGCGAAACGGGAAGAGCCCAAACCAACAAGCUUGCUUGUUGGGGUUGUAGGACACUCUAUACGGAGUUACAAAGGACGACAUUAGACGAAUCAUCUGGAAAGAUGAAUCAAAGAAGGUAAUAAUCCUGUAGUCGAAAAUGUUGUCUCUCUUGAGUGGAUCCUGAGUACGACGGAGCACGUGAAAUUCCGUCGGAAUCUGGGAGGACCAUCUCCUAAGGCUAAAUACUCUCUAGUGACCGAUAGUGAACCAGUACCGUGAGGGAAAGGUGAAAAGCACCCCGGAAGGGGAGUGAAAUAGAACCUGAAACCGUGUGCUUACAAGUAGUCAGAGCCCGUUAAUGGGUGAUGGCGUGCCUUUUGUAGAAUGAACCGGCGAGUUACGAUUUGAUGCAAGGUUAAGCAGUAAAUGUGGAGCCGUAGCGAAAGCGAGUCUGAAUAGGGCGUUUAGUAUUUGGUCGUAGACCCGAAACCAGGUGAUCUACCCUUGGUCAGGUUGAAGUUCAGGUAACACUGAAUGGAGGACCGAACCGACUUACGUUGAAAAGUGAGCGGAUGAACUGAGGGUAGCGGAGAAAUUCCAAUCGAACCUGGAGAUAGCUGGUUCUCUCCGAAAUAGCUUUAGGGCUAGCCUCAAGUGAUGAUUAUUGGAGGUAGAGCACUGUUUGGACGAGGGGCCCCUCUCGGGUUACCGAAUUCAGACAAACUCCGAAUGCCAAUUAAUUUAACUUGGGAGUCAGAACAUGGGUGAUAAGGUCCGUGUUCGAAAGGGAAACAGCCCAGACCACCAGCUAAGGUCCCAAAAUAUAUGUUAAGUGGAAAAGGAUGUGGCGUUGCCCAGACAACUAGGAUGUUGGCUUAGAAGCAGCCAUCAUUUAAAGAGUGCGUAAUAGCUCACUAGUCGAGUGACACUGCGCCGAAAAUGUACCGGGGCUAAACAUAUUACCGAAGCUGUGGAUUGUCCUUUGGACAAUGGUAGGAGAGCGUUCUAAGGGCGUUGAAGCAUGAUCGUAAGGACAUGUGGAGCGCUUAGAAGUGAGAAUGCCGGUGUGAGUAGCGAAAGACGGGUGAGAAUCCCGUCCACCGAUUGACUAAGGUUUCCAGAGGAAGGCUCGUCCGCUCUGGGUUAGUCGGGUCCUAAGCUGAGGCCGACAGGCGUAGGCGAUGGAUAACAGGUUGAUAUUCCUGUACCACCUAUAAUCGUUUUAAUCGAUGGGGGGACGCAGUAGGAUAGGCGAAGCGUGCGAUUGGAUUGCACGUCUAAGCAGUAAGGCUGAGUAUUAGGCAAAUCCGGUACUCGUUAAGGCUGAGCUGUGAUGGGGAGAAGACAUUGUGUCUUCGAGUCGUUGAUUUCACACUGCCGAGAAAAGCCUCUAGAUAGAAAAUAGGUGCCCGUACCGCAAACCGACACAGGUAGUCAAGAUGAGAAUUCUAAGGUGAGCGAGCGAACUCUCGUUAAGGAACUCGGCAAAAUGACCCCGUAACUUCGGGAGAAGGGGUGCUCUUUAGGGUUAACGCCCAGAAGAGCCGCAGUGAAUAGGCCCAAGCGACUGUUUAUCAAAAACACAGGUCUCUGCUAAACCGUAAGGUGAUGUAUAGGGGCUGACGCCUGCCCGGUGCUGGAAGGUUAAGAGGAGUGGUUAGCUUCUGCGAAGCUACGAAUCGAAGCCCCAGUAAACGGCGGCCGUAACUAUAACGGUCCUAAGGUAGCGAAAUUCCUUGUCGGGUAAGUUCCGACCCGCACGAAAGGCGUAACGAUUUGGGCACUGUCUCAACGAGAGACUCGGUGAAAUCAUAGUACCUGUGAAGAUGCAGGUUACCCGCGACAGGACGGAAAGACCCCGUGGAGCUUUACUGUAGCCUGAUAUUGAAAUUCGGCACAGCUUGUACAGGAUAGGUAGGAGCCUUUGAAACGUGAGCGCUAGCUUACGUGGAGGCGCUGGUGGGAUACUACCCUAGCUGUGUUGGCUUUCUAACCCGCACCACUUAUCGUGGUGGGAGACAGUGUCAGGCGGGCAGUUUGACUGGGGCGGUCGCCUCCUAAAAGGUAACGGAGGCGCUCAAAGGUUCCCUCAGAAUGGUUGGAAAUCAUUCAUAGAGUGUAAAGGCAUAAGGGAGCUUGACUGCGAGACCUACAAGUCGAGCAGGGUCGAAAGACGGACUUAGUGAUCCGGUGGUUCCGCAUGGAAGGGCCAUCGCUCAACGGAUAAAAGCUACCCCGGGGAUAACAGGCUUAUCUCCCCCAAGAGUUCACAUCGACGGGGAGGUUUGGCACCUCGAUGUCGGCUCAUCGCAUCCUGGGGCUGUAGUCGGUCCCAAGGGUUGGGCUGUUCGCCCAUUAAAGCGGUACGCGAGCUGGGUUCAGAACGUCGUGAGACAGUUCGGUCCCUAUCCGUCGUGGGCGUAGGAAAUUUGAGAGGAGCUGUCCUUAGUACGAGAGGACCGGGAUGGACAUACCUCUGGUGUACCAGUUGUCGUGCCAACGGCAUAGCUGGGUAGCUAUGUGUGGACGGGAUAAGUGCUGAAAGCAUCUAAGCAUGAACCCCCCCUCAAGAUGAGAUUUCCCAACUUCGGUUAUAAGAUCCCUCAAAGAUGAUGAGGUUAAUAGGUUCGAGGUAGAAGCAUGGUGACAUGUGGAGCUGACGAAUACUAAUCGAUCGAAGACUUAAUCAA
rnacentral:rRNA from 1 species